rnacentral:rRNA from 1 species
GACGAACGCUGGCGGCGUGCCUAAUACAUGCAAGUCGAACGCAGUGGGGACGGGUGAGUAACACGUGGGUAACCUCCCAUCAGAGGGGAUAAAACUUGGAAACAGGUGCUAAACCGAUACUGAUGGAUGGACCCGGGGUGCAUUAGCUAGUUGGUGAGGUAACGGCUCACCAGGGCCACGCUGCAUAGCCGACUGGGAGGCGUGAUUGUCAACAUUGGGACUGGGACACGGCCCAGACUCCUACGGAAGGCAGCAGGAGGGAAGCUUCGGAAAUGUACUAAAGUCUAACCGGACAACGCGGCGGGAGUGAAGAAGGUUUUCGGAUCGUAAAACUCUUUUGUUAGAGAAGCGGUAUCUAACCAGAAAGCCACGGCUAACUACGUGCCAGCAGCCGCGGUAAUAC